CAGACACUCAAGAACUGUUCACCUGGAGAUUAGAUUCACAACAGAGUGAAGAGUUUCCCUAGGAGGUUUAGCUGAAACCGAAUUACCUGCUUGCCUGAUUCAUAUAAUUGUCGCUUAAAAUGUAGCAAGCUAAUCUUUUGAGGCUACCAGGUUUAAUUUUGUGCUGGAAUUUACUUAGUCAAAAGCUGUUUUUCCCUGGCUAUGGAAUAAUUUGGAUAGACCACAUAAAGUCAAGACGGUCCCAGAUGAUGGAAAGAGAAGCAGAUUGCAGAGAGAGCCACUUUACAUCACUUGCUCCAACAAUGCUGAGACUAGUGCUCUGCACCCAAAAAGGCAGAAUAAAUGUUGGUGCCUGAA